rnacentral:rRNA from 1 species
UACGUAGGGGGCAAGCGUUGUCCGGAAUCAUUGGGCGUAAAGCGCGUGUAGGCGGCUGACUAAGUCCGCUCUGAAAGCCCGGGGCUCAACCCCGGGAGGCGGGUGGAUACUGGUCAGCUCGAGUCCGGAAGAGGAGUGUGGAAUUCCUGGUGUAGCGGUGAAAUGCGCAGAUAUCGUAAGGAAGACCAGUGGCGAAGGCGGGUCUCUGGGACGUUACUGACGCUGAGACGCGAAAGCGUGGGGAGCAAACAGG